rnacentral:rRNA from 2 species
CCCGUCUUGAAACACGGACCAAGGAGUCUAACAUCCACGCGAGCGUUCGGGUGUAAAAACCCUCGCGCGCAAUGAAAGUGAACGGAGGUGGGAGCCCUCACGGGCGCACCAUCGACCGAUCCUGAUGUCUUCGGAUGGAUUUGAGUAAGAGCGUGGCUGUUGGGACCCGAAAGAUGGUGAACUUUGCAUGGAUAGGGUGAAGCCAGAGGAAACUCUGGUGGAGGCUCGCAGCGGUUCUGACGUGCAAAUCGAUCGUCAAAUCAGUGCAAAGGGGCGAAAGACUAAUCGAACCGUCUAGUAGCUGGUUCCUGCCGAAGUUUCCCUCAGGAUAGCAGUAACGAACUCAGUUUUAUGAGGUAGAGCGAAUGAUUAGAGGCCUUGGGGCUGAAACAGCCUUAACCUAUUCUCAAACUUCGAAUAUGUAAGAAGUCCUUGUUACUUAGUUGAACGUGGACACUCGAAUGCAACGUUACUAGUGGGCCAUUUUUGGUAAGCAGAACUGGCGAUGCGGGAUGAACCGAACGCGAGGUUAAGGUGCCGGAAUGCACGCUCAUCAGACACCACAAAAGGUGUUAGUUCAUCCAGACAGCAGGACGGUGGCCAUGGAAGUCGGAACCCGCUAAGGAGUGUGUAACAACUCACCUGCCGAAUGAACUAGCCCUGAAAAUGGAUGGCGCUCAAGCGUGCUACCCAUACCUCGCCGCCGGGCAGGAUCGAAGCCCCGGCGAGUAGGCAGGCGCGGCGGUCGGUGA